rnacentral:rRNA from 1 species
UAAUGCGUUAGCUGCAGCACUAAGGGGCGGAAACCCCCUAACACUUAGCACUCAUCGUUUACGGCGUGGACUACCAGGGUAUCUAAUCCUGUUUGAUCCCCACGCUUUCGCACAUCAGCGUCAGUUACAGACCAGAAAGUCGCCUUCGCCACUGGUGUUCCUCCAUAUCUCUGCGCAUUUCACCGCUACACAUGGAAUUCCACUUUCCUCUUCUGCACUCAAGUUUUCCAGUUUCCAAUGACCCUCCACGGUUGAGCCGUGGGCUUUCACAUCAGACUUAAAAAACCGCCUACGCGCGCUUUACGCCCAAUAAUUCCGGAUAACGCUUGCCACCUACGUAUUACCGCGGCUGCUGGCACGUAGUUAGCCGUGGCUUUCUGAUUAGGUACCGUCAAGACGUGCAUAGUUACUUACACAUUUGUUCUUCCCUAAUAACAGAGUUUUACGAUCCGAAGACCUUCAUCACUCACGCGGCGUUGCUCCGUCAGGCUUUCGCCCAUUGCGGAAGAUUCCCUACUGCUGCCUCCCGUAG